rnacentral:rRNA from 1 species
ACCGACACAGGUGGGUGAGGAGAGUAUCCUAAGGCCAGCGAGAGAACUGUUGUUAAGGAACUCGGCAAAAUGACCCCGUAACUUAGGGAUAAGGGGUGCCACCAUCAGGUGGCCGCAGAGAAUAGGCCCAAGCGACUGUUUACCAAAAACAUAGGUUUCUGCUAAGUCGCAAGACGAUGUAUAGGAGCUGACGCCUGCCCGGUGCUGGAAGGUUAAGGGGAUCUGUUAGAG